UACGGAGGGUGCGAGCGUUGUCCGGAAUCACUGGGCGUAAAGGGCGCGUAGGCGGCCCGGUAAGUAGGAGGUGAAAUCCUGAGGCUUAACCUCAGGGCUGCCUUCUAAACUGCCAGGCUUGAGCACAGUAGAGGCAGGUGGAAUUCCCGGUGUAGCGGUGGAAUGCGUAGAGAUCUGGAAGAACAUCGGUGGCGAAGGCGGCCUGCUGGGCUGUUGCUGACGCUGAGGCGCGAGAGCAAGGGGAGCAAACAGG
rnacentral:rRNA from 1 species